AGGGCGCACGGUGGAUGCCUUGGCACUAGAAGCCGAUGAAGGACGUUACUAACGACGAUAUGCUUUGGGGAGCUGUAAGUAAGCUUUGAUCCAGAGAUUUCCGAAUGGGGAAACCCAGCAUGAGUUAUGUCAUGUUAUCGAUAUGUGAAUACAUAGCAUAUCAGAAGGCACACCCGGAGAACUGAAACAUCUUAGUACCCGGAGGAAGAGAAAGAAAAUUCGAUUCCCUUAGUAGCGGCGAGCGAAACGGGAAGAGCCCAAACCAACAAGCUUGCUUGUUGGGGUUGUAGGACACUCUAUACGGAGUUACAAAGGACGACAUUAGACGAAUCAUCUGGAAAGAUGAAUCAAAGAAGGUAAUAAUCCUGUAGUCGAAAAUGUUGUCUCUCUUGA
rnacentral:rRNA from 1 species